UACGUAGGGUGCAAGCGUUGUCCGGAAUUACUGGGCGUAAAGUGUGCGCAGGCGGCCGCGCAAGUCGAGUGUGAAAGCCCCGGGCUUAACUUGGGAAUUGCGCUCGAAACUACGUGGCUGGAGUGUGGCAGAGGAAGGUGGAAUUCCAGGUGUAGCGGUGAAGUGCGUAGAGAUCUGGAGGAACACCGAUGGCGAAGGCAGCCUUCUGGGCCAACACUGACGCUCAUGCACGAAAGCGUGGGGAGCAAACAGG
rnacentral:rRNA from 1 species